rnacentral:rRNA from 1 species
GACGAACGCUGGCGGCGUGCUUAACACAUGCAAGUCGAACGGAAAGGCCCUGCUUUUGUGGGUUGCUCGAGUGGCGAACGGGUGAGUAACACGUGAGUAACCUGCCCUUGACUGUGUGAUAACUUCAGGAAACUGGGGCUAAUACCGGAUAGGAGCUCCUGCUGCAUGGUGGGGGUUGGAAAGUUUCGGCGGUUGGGGAUGGACUCGCGGCUUAUCAGCUGGUUGGUGGGGUAGUGGCUUACCAAGGCUUUGACGGGUAGCCGGCCUGAGAGGGUGACCGGCCACAUUGGGACUGCGAUACGGCGCAGACUCCUACGGGAGGCAGCAGUGGGGAAUCUUGCACAGUGGGCGGAAGCCUGAUGCAGCAACGCCGCGUGCGGGAUGCCGGCUUACGGGUUGUAAACAGCUUUCGACUGUGACGAAGCGUGAGUGACGGUACUGGGUCAAGAAGCACCGGCUAACUACGUG